AACCUUUGCUGUCUUGGGACGGAUCACCGCUGCAAGAGGGGAAGUUGCUACUGUGAUGAAUUCUGCCAUGUGGCACCAGACUGCCACCCAGACCACAGUGUCCUCUGCAACCCUGCUUCUCAGAUGACCAAGAUGGUGCUGCAGAUGGUGCUGAGGAUGGAGAACCCACCAAGCCCCGCUAGGAGCCACCUAGACUGGAUGCAGAGCAUGGUGAGCUCCCUGCAGGUUCUCUGAGAAGGGGUGGAUGGCAGCCUGCUCCUUGCCUUUGUGCCCUCCAGGCCCCAAAGUCAGGGAACCAAAAGAAGAAAGGGGCCGUAGCUAGGGCAGAGCUCCACUGCAAUGAUUGUUUUAGGGGUAGGAGCCAGGAUUGCCGUCUGUGGACACUGAAAUUUGAAUCUCAUAUACUUUUGUGACAAAACAUUCUUCCUCUUUUGUUCUUCUCCUACCAUCUAAAAAUGUAGAAAACAUUCUUAGCCUAUGAGUUGCACAAAAACAGGCAGUGGCCAGAUUUGGCCCAUAGACCAUAGUUUGCUGACUUCUGCCCUAAAUCAUCCUCCAUUUCUUUCCUUCUGUGUCCUUGUUACUGACAAAGCCACUUUCCCUAAAAUGGGGUCUUUCCCUGUUUGGUGCCAUGAAGCCAAUAUGCAAAACCGAAAGUGAGCCUCAAGCAGUGCAGGCUUUAUUUGGUGGCCAUGGAAUUGAGAAGUGAGAGCUUGGCUCACAAAUCAACUUUUCUGCUCGUGAGACCCAGGAAGUCACAGAUACAGGGCAUCUUUAGUGAAGGGGCUGAGCAUUAAAAGCAAGGGGAGGAGUGGCCAGGUGCAAUGGCUCACUCCCAUAAACCCAGAACUUUGGGAGGCCAAAAUGAGAGGAUUGCUGAGACCAGGAGUUCGAGACCAUCCUGGUCAACAUAGUGAUACACCCCCAUCUCU
rnacentral:lncRNA from 10 species